GAGAGAUUCUUCUCUCAAAAGCAUCGGUUUCUUGGGUUCCUAAGACCCGAUUUUCUCCAUUUUGUUGAGUUGUUCUUGCCUUUUGAGGCAGAGGAAGGUUUCUUCUCCUCCUUAGGGUAUGGGUUUCUCUCCUCAUUACUGAGUGAGGCUGUAGAUAGUUUUGGUGUUUGGUUUUUGGUUGGUAGGAUGAGCGAUUUAGAGAGGGAUUCAGAGGUUUCCUGCGUUGUGGGUCUGUCGGUGGAAAGAACCAUGGUUAACAUGGCUCUGGUCUUUCUUGACGCUGUUGAGAAUCAAGUUUCGAUGGGAUGAGAAGGCGAUCGACUUAGGAGAGAUUCCAAGGAAGGUGUCUUCAAGGGUUUAGAGUCAGUGCUCUACAAGUCUCUUCCUAGUUUUCCCAGGUUUAGUAAAGCCAUGGCCACUAUUUUCCUCCCUCCUCUAUUGAUGGUGGUUUUUCUAAGCUUGGUGUAUAUGCUGGAGGCAGUAGUGUUUUCUUUGGUUAGCCAAGCUUGCAUGGCUUAGGCAAAAGAAGUCUGAUUUUCAGGUCUUCGGCGACUCUUUCGAUGGUACUCAUAGGUGACCGCACUGCAUUUG
rnacentral:misc_RNA from 1 species